rnacentral:rRNA from 1 species
UACGAAGGGGGCUAGCGUUGCUCGGAAUCACUGGGCGUAAAGCGCACGUAGGCGGAUUGUUAAGUCAGGGGUGAAAUCCUGGAGCUCAACUCCAGAACUGCCUUUGAUACGUGACGGUCUUGAGUCCGGGAGAGGUGAGUGGAACUCCGAGUGUAGAGGUGAAAUUCGUAGAUAUUACGGAAGAACACCAGUGGCGAAGGCGGCUCACUGGCCCGGUACUGACGCUGAGGUGCGAAAGCGUGGGGAGCAACAGGGAUU